rnacentral:lncRNA from 1 species
CCUUGUGAUUUGCCUGCCUCAGCCUCCCAAAGUGCUGGGAUAACAGGCGUGAGCCACCACGCCCAGCUUCAAAAGUUUUCAACAGAGCUCAGAGGUCUUAACCACAGGCACAUCCGAGGAGCAUUUUUGAAAUGGUUUCCAGCUUCCUCAAUAGGAAUGGAAGCCAAACCCGGAACUGAUGGCUCCUUGGAGGAAGUCGAGAGCUGUAAGGAAAGCCAGGAACAGGGGCAAGGGAGAGAUGCAUCCCGAAUGAUCCUGUGCCAAUUCUUUCUGGAAUCUUUGAUGUGAUCUCCGCUGCCCUUUCCAUACUUGACACAGUGAUUGUGGCACCCACUGGUCUAGCUGUGGUCUACAAGGAACCCCCAAAGGGAAGGGCACAGUGAGCAGGGGCAUCGGCCUGAGUGACAAGGAUUGGAGGGGGCAGGUUGGAUGCAGGGAGAGGACUGGCCAAAUGCCAUGUGUCUGGCUUAGACUACCUUGUUCAAAUUGGGCUUCACCAUUUUUGACUUCGUGAUCUGGUACAAGUUAUAUGAAAAUGUGUUGCUCCUUUUCUAGUCUGUAAAAUCAUAAGGAAAUGUGCACUAAUAACUGGGAGACUAUGCAGAUGAAAUGAAACAAGCUGCAUAGAACACAGAGCUCAGAGCCUGGCCUUUAGGAAGCCCUCAGUAAGGGUUCAUGAUGCCAUGGUGUCUGUCAUCAUCCUCUUUAUCCUCAUCAUCACCUUCAUCAUCUUUUUGUUGUUCUGAGGGCAUACUUUAGAGGGACUCAUUCCCUGCUCUCAUGGGUGAGAUGUCUAUGAAGAGGACAACCAGUGGGGGAGGGAAGCAAAAUUUUGAAGAAGAUUCCUGAGAGAGAUCCCCCACCACAACCAAGAACAGAAACUCCACAGUCUGCUGAGCUGACAGUUUGCACAUUGGUCUCCUCCCAUCUGCCCACGGCACUCUCCCGUUUGUCCUGAAGAUGAGGAAACAAACAAGGCUCCCGACCGUCCCUCAGCACUCACUGAACGGCCCUUCCCCUCUGCUGGGCCAUGACCACGGAGAACAGGUCCACUGUCCUCCCUGAGUGGUGCACAUGGGAGGCUCAGACUCCGUCCUCAAGGCUGGUAAGAAGACAGGGUGAGACAUGAGCCUCCUGAUACAGGUGACGGGUGUGGAGCCCACAGGACUGCAACCUCACACUGCAGGGCUGGAGGCACAGACUGAGUAUUUCCUAUUCUAUGGCCUGGGGGGCUCAAGGCACAGAGCUCCUCAUUAGCCAGAGUCGCCCAUGUUCCCCAUGCUCUAAGGAUUUCCUCAUCAUCAUGCAAGAAGAAGAAUAGAAAAAAGGAAGAGGAAGAAACAAAAGGAACUUCUCUCUUAGAUUUAAUUCUGACCUACCAGGAAGAACUGGAUUGUUGAAGCAGAAGUACUGGAGUCUCUGGAGCUAAAACCAAGGAUAAGAACAUUAAGAUUAUCCUGCUGGAGAGAGAGGCCAUGCGGAAGAACCCUGGAAAAUGAGACAGCUCACAGAGCAAGAGGCCAUGUGGAGAAGGCCUAGAAGUAAAAUGCCUCAUGGAACAAGAGGCCACAUGCAGAAGGCCUGGAGGAUGAGACGCCCUGUGAAGUGAGAGGCCACGUGGAGAAGGCCUAGAGGAGGAGACACCUUAUGGAGCAAGAGGCCGAAUGGAGAAGCCCCAGAGGGUUAGACACCUUGUGGAGCAAGAGGUCACACGCAGAAGUCCUGGGAGUGAGAUGCCUCACGAAGCGAGAUGCCUCGUGAAGCGAGAUGCCUCGUGGAGUGAGAGGCCAUGUGGAAGAACCCUGGAACUCAGCGGCUGAUAACACAAAGAUCCCAUGGUGUGAGAGAGGCCUUCAUGAACUUCCCGUCCAGCCCAGCUAGAGCCAAAUGGAGCCAUAUGUGUGACCGCAAGUGACAUCUACAAAAGAACGACCCAGUCACCCUGAGAAUUGUUAGAAAUGCAAAGCACUAAGUUUUGGGGUAGUUUGUUACACAGCAAUAGCUAACUGAUACAGAUGGUUUGAAUUACUUGACUUUAAAGUUCCUUCUUACCCUGAAAGUUUAUGGCUUAGUAAAGUGAAUUAAGCACAUUUGACUGAAACAGAGAGAUGGUGUAGGAAAAGAUCAGAAGGUAAGGGCAGGGCAAGGUGAGGAAGGCUUUCCGUGCCACGAUAAGGAAUUUGAGCUUUAACUGGUAGGUUCUGAAGCUGUCCCAGGAGGAAGUGACAUGAGAAGAUAGUUUUUUAGGAAGACCCACACUGCAGCAGCAUGUAGAUCAGACACGUGGGCACACAGAGCAGAUGUGAGAGAGAAGGAGGCAUGGAGACCUGAUUGCUGAGGCAAAAAGAUGCAGCUGACAAUUAUGGAGCAACAAGCUACUGAAUACAGAAUUGAACAUUCAGUCUUCAAGACACAGAUGUAAGCUGCUUUCUCUGUAUCAGCCUUCUCUGUAUCAACUCUUCAUUUUUUCCAACUAUGAUGUUUUUACUUUCAAAAAUCCAUGGGAGAAUACAUGGUAUGUCGUUAAAAGCCUGGGAUUUGAAAUAAGAAAGCCUUAGCUUUAAACCCCUUCUCUCACCUUCUAGCUGUGUAACUCUGGGCAAGUUACUGAACCUUGCUGUAUCGCAGCUUCUUCAUUUGUAAAAUGGAUAUAAUGAUAUUUGUCUCACAGGAGUAAUGCAAAGAUAAAAACGGAUUAUGUCUCAUGCAUUUACUUUUACUAAAUGGCUAAAUGCUCAAGCAACACAAAUACAUGAUUAUUUCUCUUUCACGUAACAGUCCAGGUUGGGAGUGUCAGGUUGAGGGGUGGAUCUUUUUCACAUCUUCUUGAAAGAAUUCGUGGUAAAAGCUGUCUUCAGUUUAUGCCUUCCAAGGUUCUUUUGGCCAUCGCCAUUCCAGAAAGAAGAGGAGAAGAGAGCAUGAAGGAGCCCGCCUAACAUGUUUUAUCUGGCUUCUCAGAAAUGGCACAUGCUUCUACUUGCAUUCCAUUGGCAAGAACACACGGCACACCAGCUGCCCACGGGGAUAGGGAAUCCCAGCUAGAAUUCCAUCCAAUAGAAGACAGAGGGGAGAGAAGAGCAGGGUAUUGAUAUUUUAGAUCUGCAGUUGAUUGACUCCACAAAUGUGAAACUGGUGGAAACAGGGCCAGCUGUUUUCGACAGAUAUCCUCUCUUUGAGGAAAAAUGGCUUGAUCUUUUGUCCAAGGAAGUUAGAAAACUGUAUCCACGCAAUUCAUCCAUUUAUUCCUCAAGCAUGUGUUAAGCGUUUGGCGAUGCUUCACGAUGUUGGACUCUGGACAUUCACAGAAGAUGAACACAUCUCACAAAAGGUGAAAAUGUUUAAAUCACCUGGGAUAAAGAACAUUCAGGGUUGAAAGAAUACAUGUUUGGUUAUAAUACUGCUUAUUAAGCAAGUAGAAAAUUAGAGUAAAUAUCAGCCCUUUAAGAAGACAGAUCUUCCAGAGAGCCUUAAAGGCAAGGUGGGCAUUUGAUGGUUUUAUCUGGGAACAUGCACUCCAGGUUCACCGUGAGCAGGUGAGAGACAUGGCUACACCUCUGAAAUGCUGCAAGUUCAUUUUUGAAGGAUUUGUCAUAGUAAAACAGAAAAAGUUCCCUUAUCCCCCUUACAGGGCGUGACAAGGGGAGUGGCUCCCUUCUUCCGCGCCCUGCAGCCUAAACCCCUAGGGAGAGCAUGCAGUCGGGCAGGUAGUAGGGAGCGUGGGCUCCAACCCCACCGCAGCGUCUAGGGUUGAGUGUUUACAGUUUUCGAAGCCCCGGUGAGCGUGUGUUGCAGCGUGCUUUUUCAGCUUAGCCAUCCGCAGGCGGCUUGUAUUAAUCAGCUCAAUUAGACCCUCUGCCUUAUCGCAAGGACAGAGGGCUUUUUGUAUCCUGGGGUUCUUGCCUAGUGUACUGGAAAAAUCUGAUCAUACAUGGGCUUGGAGAAUGAGUGCAAGGUUUUAUUGAGUGGUGGAAGUAGCUCUUAGCAGAUGGAUGGGAAGCCGGAAGAGGGAUGGAGUGGGAAGGGGUCUUCCCCUGGAGUCAGGCCGCUCAGUGGCUGGGCUUGCUUCUGACUGCCCUCUGCCAAAUUUCCCUCAGCGUCUGCGUGGUUCCACCGUCGAUGGCCUGCUAGUGUUUUUCUGCGAGUGUGUUCCUCUCGACGCCCAGCUGCUUGUACAUGUGCCCACUAGGGUCUCUCGGGUUUCUAUGGGCAUGGGAUGGCGGGGGGUUGUGGCGGGCCAGGGUGGUCUUGGAAAAUGCAACUUUUGGGCGUGAAAACAGGAAUGCCUGUCCUCACUUAGGUCCGUGGGCACAGGCCUGAGGGUGGAGCCCUGGCCAGGGACCCCAUCCUUCUCUACCCAGCACCUCCCUGCCCCCUCCCGUAUCAAUAGCAAUGAUGAAGGACUCACGCAGCCAUCUUUUCAGGAGCAUGUGACAGCCUGCAUGACCGGAGCCAAUGGUGAAUGUUUAAAUUCUGGGUCCCGAAGCAAUAUCUUGGGAAGGGCCUUCCUCUGUCCCACAGCUUCUAAAAAUGUUCUGUGCUUAUAGUAUUGGCUCAGUUUUGUGGAUGUGUUUCUGGGAUUAUUCAGUGACCUCAGACAGGCUGCUCCAAGUCUCCCUGGACCACCUGCGUAGUUCAGCCAUAUUCUACAGUGAGCACUUAGAACAGGACAUGCAGGGGCUACACAGGCAUCAAGGCUGGCUGAUUCCACAGAGCAAGAAUGUCAACAAGGAUCCAGCUUAUUUUUGCCUCUUCACCCCACCAUCUUUUAUGUCAGCCUCGUCCUCAGGGAAGUAGGAUGCAACAGUUCCAGCUGGACACGACAAUACUCACAGGAAGACGAAAGAGACUCUUAUUGCUGCUGUAUCGUGGGAACCUUGUCCCCGAUGCCCAUCAGGGUCAACUAUUUACAUGGGAAGGAAAAACAUACCCCGCAACUACAACCUGAUGUCAGUACCAAGAGCAGUAUGCAAACGACUAUUACGGGCGCUCAGAAGCAUCACAAUGGAAGGGAAGUUGCAGCUGCCUAUACCCACACCCACAUCUUGUCUACCUGCCUGCUGCGUCACAGCCUGGCUGCAUUACUGGGCUCACUUCAGUUCCAAGAAAGCUUCCAGAAAUCAUGGCAGGCACACCUGCAGUGAGCAGAUCUGUGUCUACUUGUCCUUUAAGUGGACACCACUUUUCUGUUCAGAGCACAGAUCAAUGUGUCAGACAGAGCUCUUGGAUGACAAUAUUGUCCUGGCAGGGAUCCAGAGCGGCUGGGGAUAGAGAAUAUUAAAUGGGUCUGGUGCAGAACAGUUGAGGUGUGACUGGAUGUGACAGAGGACAGCACCUCUUUGACAAUGACAUUAUGUGAGUUUGGGUGGGCUCUCAGCUCAGGUUUCAGAUGGCCAGGCAUCUGUUGCUGGCCGCCAUUCUGUUGACAUUUUACAUUUUGUGACCAUAAAUUAACUUUGGAAGAAGUUGAUAGACAAGUAGGUCAUUAUUUGGGUGUUCCUGUGUUUCUCAUAACAUUUUAAAUUCAGUCAGGGCAGAAAAUAUAUAUGUCUUUCCUUUAUACCAUUACCCUAAUCCCUGGCACAUGGUGGGUUUCCUCUUGACUUUAGUGGAACGUGCCUGGACCUUAACAAUCCCAACACCCCACCUUCCCCGCAACCCUGUCUUCUUCCCCAUCUCUCCAGCUGGCUUCCUGCCUUGUUUUCUCCUCACAUAGAUUUAACAGAUGCUCUGAGCCCCGCAGUGCACUUCAGUUCUAUUCUCUGCACUCGCCAUGGCACUUGGCACCAUUAACUGCAGCUCUCUCUGCCUUGACAUCUGCACCCCACUCUCCCCUGUGUGUUUUUUCUUUGGGGGUUUCUUAUCAGGCGCCUCUUCUUUAAAUGCUUGUUUUCCUUUGAGCCCUGUCCAAAGCUCUAGGUUCCAUUUUCCACUUUCUACGUUCUAUCUGGUCCUUCAUUCAAAUUUACAGCUCACAUCUCUGCUUUUGCCUCUAGCCCAGAUCUCUCUCUCUCUCUCUCUCUCUCUCUCUCUCUCUGUCUUUCAAACCUUACACAACUUGAGACAUCUUCACUCACAUAUCCUGCAGGUACACCGAACUCAACAUGGUCAAUACAGGAGACAGUCUCUCACCCCAAAAUGGAAUUUCUCUCUUUUUAAAGGAAACCAGCAUUCAUAAGCCAGAAGCCAAUCUGGAUUUUGUCUGGAAACUCAAGUAUAAGACCUAGCACCACUUGCCAAGGACCUCUGCUUUGCUUUGGUAGGCCAAGGGUCUGGCUCUGUUACCCAGGCUGGAUUGCAGUGG